CAAACUUUGUGAUUUAAAAAAAAACUUUCCCAACUUUAAAACAAACAGUUAAGGUCAAAAUAAACUAGGAUAUUGCCCUUAUUUAAUUACAAAGUGGAACUUACUUGGAUAUGGAUGAACUGAAACAGCGAACUAUAUUUAAUUUGGGGGGUAAUGUGAGAUGGAGAAAAUAAAAUAAAAACAAUCCUCAACAGAUGAAAAACAAUCGGCAAUGGAGGAAAAACAAUCGGCAGUGAAAAGUAUAUAUUAAUUGUUUGGUAAAACAAUCCAAUAAUUGGAAUAUUGAAGCUGAAGAUAAGAUCGACAGUUCUUUGUGCUACAUGUACUGUAUGUGGGCUUUAUAACAUUAAUUAAUGCAUAAUUUGAUAAGAUUUGAAUCAAAAUUCAAGCAUGGAAUUAACCUUUUUUUAGUAUUCAUCAAAAUUUGUGUGU